UACGGAGGGAGCUAGCGUUGUUCGGAAUUACUGGGCGUAAAGCGCGCGUAGGCGGCCUUGCAAGUUAGAGGUGAAAGCCCGGAGCUCAACUCCGGAACUGCCUUUAAAACUGCAUAGCUUGAAUCCGGGAGAGGUGAGUGGAAUUCCGAGUGUAGAGGUGAAAUUCGUAGAUAUUCGGAAGAACACCAGUGGCGAAGGCGACUGACUGGACAAGUAUUGACGCUGAGGUGCGAAAGCGUGGGGAGCAAACAGG
rnacentral:rRNA from 1 species